AACGUUUCGAAAGGAACGCUAAUACCGCAUACGUCCUACGGGAGAAGCAGGGACCUUCGGGCCUUGCGCUAUCAGAUGAGCCUAGGUCGGAUUAGCUAGUUGGUGAGGUAAUGGCUCACCAAGGCGACGAUCCGUAACUGGUCUGAGAGGAUGAUCAGUCACACCGGAACUGAGACACGGUCCAGACUCCUACGGGAGGCAGCAGGA
rnacentral:rRNA from 1 species